rnacentral:rRNA from 1 species
CCUACGGGUGGCUGCAGUGGGGAAUAUUGGACAAUGGGGGGAACCCUGAUCCAGCCAUGCCGCGUGUGUGAAGAAGGCCCUCGGGUUGUAAAGCACUUUCAGUGAGGAAGAACGCCUGGUGGUUAAUACCCAUCAGGAAAGACAUCACUCACAGAAGAAGCACCGGCUAACUCCGUGCCAGCAGCCGCGGUAAUACGGAGGGUGCGAGCGUUAAUCGGAAUUACUGGGCGUAAAGCGCGCGUAGGUGGCUUGAUAAGCCGGUUGUGAAAGCCCCGGGCUCAACCUGGGAACGGCAUCCGGACCGUCAAGGUAGGGGGCAGGGGAGGAAAGUAGAAUUCCCGGUGGAGCGGGGAAAUGCGGAGAGGUCGGGAGGAAUACCAGUGGCGAAGGCCGCCUUCUGGACCUACACUGAAACUGGGGUGGGAAAGCGUGGGUAGCAAACAGGAUUAGAUACCCCAGUAGUC